CAAUGUGGGGCGAGAGUGUGUGACAAAAGACCAAAAUGAGUGGCUACCACGCUCAAUGUGUGACACUUGAGAUCCC